UCCCAGAGCUUAACUCUGGAACUGCCAUUAAAACUUUUNAGCUAGAGUNUGAUAGAGGAAAGCAGAAUUUCUAGUGUAGAGGUGAAAUUCGUAGAUAUUAGANNGAAUACCAAUUGCGAAGGCAGCUUUCUGGAUCAUUACUGACANUGAGGAACGAAAGCAUGGGUAGCGAAGAGGAUUAGAUACCCUCGUAGUCCAUGCCGUAAACGAUGUGUGUUAGACGUUGGAAAUUUAUUUUCAGUGUCGCAGGGAAACCGAUAAACACACCGCCUGGGGAGUACGACCGCAAGGUUAAAACUCAAAUGAAUUGACGGGGACCCGCACAAGUAGUGGAGCAUGUGGUUUAAUUCGAAGCAACGCGCAGAACCUUACCAACCCUUGACAUGCCUGGACAAUCCGAGAGAUCGGACUUUCCUUCGGGACCAGUGCACAGGUGCUGCAUGGCNGUCGUCAGCUCGUGUCGUGAGAUGUUGGGUUAAGUCCCGCAACGAGCGCAACCCUCACUUUUAGUUGCCAUCAUUAAGUUGGGCACUCUGANAGAACUGCCAGUGNUAAGCUGGAGGAANGUGGGGAUGACGUCAAGUCCUCAUGGCCCUUACGUGUUGGGCUACACACGUGCUACAAUGGUAUCUACAACAGGAAGCAAGACUGCGAAGUUAAGCAAAUCCCUAAAAGAUACCUCAGUUCGGAUUGCACUCUGCAACUCGAGUGCAUGAAGCUGGAAUUACUAGUAAUCGUAGAUCAGCGUGCUACGGUGAAUGCGUUCCCGGGUCUUGUACACACCGCCCGUCACACCA
rnacentral:rRNA from 1 species